AAACCGUUGGAAGGGAAGCGAAUGGAGUCGGCAAUUCGCCUUUUCAGAUUCAACCCCUCGCCUGCUGCGACGUGCUGUCUCGCGACCUGUCGCCAGGCGUGGUUCGUGCGGCCGCAGUACGCAGGUGGUGCACUUCCGACGGGCGAGUGUCAACGUCAGUCGACGGCGAGCAAAGGGGCCGCGAGUACGGUAGGUCCUUCGGGCCCGGUAUGUCUCGCGCGCACGUGGCUCGCACCAGACUGUCUUCUGUCGCAGUGCGUGCCGCCCUUCGCGGGGCGGCUGCUGCCUUUGUUGUUGGCCUGGCGAUGCUGUCGAGCGGACGGCUUCGCCUGUGCGUUUGUAGCGCCGCUGACCAACCGACGGAGAACGCAGACACGACGCGCUGAGGACGUUGAUCGCCUUACGUCUCCAUCCGACCCGUCUUGAAACACGGACCAAGGAGUCUAACAUGUGCGCAAGUCUCAGGGUGAUCGAAACCCGUGGGCUCAAUGAAAGUGAAUGCCGCCUCGGCUGCAGAGAUGAGAAGCAAGCGGAUUCGCGUCCGUAGCGCUACAUCAUCGACCGACCUGUUCUACUCUUAGAAAGGUUCGAGUUAGAGCGUGCCUGUUGGGACCCGAAA
rnacentral:rRNA from 1 species